GCCAGGCACAGUGGCGCAUGCCUGUAAUCUCAGCAGCUCCAGAGGCUGAGACAGGAGGAUCUCGAGUUCAAAAACAGCCUCAGCAAAAGUGAGGCACUAAGCAGCUCAGUGAGACCCUGUCUCUA
rnacentral:sRNA from 1 species